rnacentral:rRNA from 1 species
UCCGUAGGUGGAUCAAUCAGUCAGAGGUGAAAUCCUGCAGCUUAACUGUAGAACUGCCUUUGAUACUGUUGAUCUUGAGUCAUUAUGAAGUGGUUAGAAUGUGUAGUGUAGCGGUGAAAUGCAUAGAUAUUACACAGAAUACCGAUUGCGAAGGCAGAUCACUAAUAAUGUACUGACACUGAGGGGCGAAAGCGUGGCGAGCGAACAGGAUUAGAUACCCUGGUAGUCC